AUUGGCACCUCAGCAGUCGAGGGAGCUGAUAAUGUCUCCAAUAAGAAACGAUUAGGGCUGGAUAUCCGACUCCCUUUUGGGGGCUGGUUGAGUCCUGCAUGGAGUAAAGGACAGAAGCAGCAGAUGAUGGAAGAUAAAAGGGAAUACAGAGAGGUACAUCCAUCACCUCUUCUUCCGAAGAUUACUAUGGUUGGUAUCUCAAUGGGUGAGGGUGGACAGGUGAGCAAAACCACUUUGAAGAAGACAAUGGAGGAUUUGACGAAAGAACUGGAAUAUACAGAUCAGAAAAGCUCAUCUGGGAAUAAUGUUGAUGAAAUAACAUUUGAGGAGAGGGAUCCUUUAUUCGUAGCUAACGUUGGUGACUAUCAUUCUAGUGCAGCAAAGGGAGGUUCAACUCGAUGGGUUCGAGGAGGAACCUUUUAAACAACCUCUGACCAGGUUUUUGUUCCUUGUCAAAUUAGCUGCUUACAAUGUAAUUCUAGGAAAUAAUUAAAUGUAUAUUAGUCUGCUGUUGCUGGCUUUAUAUUGUAGCUGGGAGAUAGUUUUCUCAGGUUUUAGCUGAUUGGAU
rnacentral:misc_RNA from 1 species